UUUAUGCUGUCAGCGGCUGGCAUAGAAAAGGGAGCAAACAAAUCCUGGGCACGAGGUGGCAGGAAUGGUGACCUUGAAGCACUUGUACGAAAUCGCCCUGGUGAAGUCUCAGGACCCGAACUUUGUGCUCCGCGACACGCCGCUCGAGAAGGUCGUCCUGUCGCUCAUGGGGACUGCCCGGUCGCUGGGCAUCAAGGUGGUGAAAGAACUCGAUUCAGAGGAAUACGCUUUUCCUGAAGUGAGCGC